rnacentral:tRNA from 1 species
GAAUAUGAAGCGAUAUAUUGCAAUUAGUUUCGACCUAAUUUUAGGUAAAGUAUACCCUUAUUCU